rnacentral:rRNA from 1 species
CUUUUGGAGGGUUUGAUCCUGGCUCAGAGUGAACGCUGGCGGCGUGGAUUAGGCAUGCAAGUCGAGCGAUCCUGAAAAGACGAACUUCUUGAACUUUUGGAAGUUCCGACGAAAGUCGGAAUGGAAGAAAGGGAAAGAAGGGAGUUUUUCGGGAUAGCGGCAAACGGGUGAGUAACGCGUGGGUUAUCUACCCUAAGAUGAGGGAUAGUCCGGCGAAAGCAGGAGUAAUACCUCGUAUAUCCCGACGUUAUGUCGGGAGAAAGGUGGCUUAAUCUCGAGUUUUCGGGAUGCUGCCGUCUUAGGAGGAGCCCGCGUCCUAUCAGCUAGUUGGUAGGGUAAUGGCCUACCAAGGCUAUGACGGGUAGCUGGCCUUAGUGGGUGGUCAGCCACACCGGGACUGAGAUACUGCCCGGACUCCUACGGGAGGCUGCAGUCGAGAAUCUUUCCCAAUGCCCGCAAGGGUGAGGAUGCGACGCCGCGUGGAGGAUGAAGGCCUUCGGGUUGUAAACUCCUUUUGUCAGGGAAGAAAACUCCGAGGUUAAUAGCCUUGGGGCUUGACGUUACCUGACGAAUAAGCCACGGCUAACUCCGUGCCAGCAGCCGCGGUAAUACGGAGGUGGCUAGCGUUACUCGGUAUUACUGGGUGUAAAGGGUCCGCAGGCGGCUAAGUAAGUAAAAGGUGAAAUCCUCUGGCUUAACCGGAGAACUGCCUUUUAUACUGCUUAGCUAGAGGACAAGAGAGGAGAGCGGAACUGCCGGUGUAAGGGUGAAAUCUGUGGAUAUCAGCAGGAACACCAGUGGCGAAGGCGGCUCUCUGGCUUGCUCCUGACGCUCAGGGACGAAAGCUAGGGGAGCAAACAGGAUUAGAU